CCUACGGGUGGCAGCAGUGAGGAAUAUUGGUCAAUGGGCGAGAGCCUGAACCAGCCAAGUCGCGUGAAGGAUGAAGGAUCUAUGGGUUGUAAACUUCUGUUAUAUGGGAAUAAAGUGAGGAAAGUGUGCCUUGUUGUAUGUACCAUAUGAAUAAGGAUCGGCCAACUCCGUGCCAGCAGCCGCGGUAAUACGGAGGAUGCGAGCGUUAUCCGGAUUUCUUGGGUGUAAAGGGUGCGUAGGGGGUUAAUUAAGUCAGCGGUGAAAGUUUGUGGCUCAACCGUAAAAUUGCCUUUGAAACUGGUUGUCUUGAUUAUAUUUGAGGUAGUCGGAAUGCGUGGUGUAGCGGU
rnacentral:rRNA from 1 species